GAUGAAGAACGCAGCGAAAUGCGAUAAGUAAUGUGAAUUGCAGAAUUCAGUGAAUCAUCGAAUCUUUGAACGCACAUUGCGCCCGCCAGUAUUCUGGCGGGCAUGCCUGUUCGAGCGUCAUUUCAACCAUCAAGCCCCCGGCUUGUGUUGGGGACCUGCGGCUGCCGCAGGCCCUGAAAAGCAGUGGCGGGCUCGCUGUCACACCGAGCGUAGUAGCAUACAUCUCGCUCUGGGCGUGCUGCGGGUUCCGGCCGUUAAACCACCUUCAUAACCCAAGGUUGACCUCGGAUCAGGUAGGAAGACCCGCUGAACUUAAGCAUAUCAAAAGCGGAGGA
rnacentral:misc_RNA from 1 species